CCAGGUAAACUGGCAGUUGUUGGGCCUGGGACUAUAAGAACCAUUGCUUGGAGGACAGAAGGGUCCUGAGGACUGGGAUUCACAACAAAUAAAGCUUGCUGGAUGGGGAAGGAAAAGGUCAUGCUGCUCUUCCCCAAAUAGGGGACCAGAGCAACAGGAAGACCAUCCUGCAGAAAGAAAUAGAAGGGUAGCUAUUAUAGUGAUGAAUCCUCGUGACUCCAAAAUCAUGUGAUUAUCAUUAGAAUAGUUUGAUAACAUUAAUUUCUAGUUUUCAAGUUUUUAUCUAGAGUUUUCCAAUAUAUAGGGUGCAGCAAAAUGACCGUACAAGUUUGUUAAAAAGCCAGACACCUGGUCCUCAGCUUUGCAACUUCUAUUCAGGAAAUCUCGGAUGAAGCCCAGGAACAAGUGAAGCAGGUUAUUUAUUUGCAGAGAGAGAGAUUGAGAGAGAGCGAGCACAUACUUGAGCAGGGGCAGGGCAGAAGAAGAUGAAAAAGGAGAGAAUCCCAAGCAGACCCUGUACCUAGCAUGGAUGCAAGCCUCAGUCUCAGUUCCCUGAAAUUAUGACCUGAGGAGAACCCAAGAGGCAGACCCUUAAGAAACUGAGCCACCCAGGUGCCACUCUCAUUUUUUGCUCCACACCCAGUCUGGAGCCCAAUGUGGGGCUUGAAUUUAUAACCUUGAGAUCAAGACCUGAGAUGAAAUUGAGUUGGACACU